GACGAACGCUGGCGGCGUGCUUAACACAUGCAAGUCGAACGGUAAGGCCCUUCGGGGUACACGAGUGGCGAACGGGUGAGUAACACGUGGGUGAUCUGCCCUGCACUUCGGGAUAAGCCUGGGAAACUGGGUCUAAUACCGGAUAGGACCCUGGGAUGCAUGUCCUGGGGUGGAAAGCUUUUGCGGUGUGGGAUGGGCCCGCGGCCUAUCAGCUUGUUGGUGGGGUGAUGGCCUACCAAGGCGACGACGGGUAGCCGGCCUGAGAGGGUGACCGGCCACACUGGGACUGGAAUACGGCCCAGACUCCUACGGGAGGCAGCAGUGGGGAAUAUUGCACAAUGGGCGCAAGCCUGAUGCAGCGACGCCGCGUGAGGGAUGACGGCCUUCGGGUUGUAAACCUCUUUCAGCACCGACGAAGCGCAAGUGACGGUAGGUGCAGAAGAAGGACCGGCCAACUACGUGCCAGCAGCCGCCGUAAAAC
rnacentral:rRNA from 1 species